UACGAAGGGGGCUAGCGUUGCUCGGAAUCACUGGGCGUAAAGGGUGCGUAGGCGGGUCUUUAAGUCAGGGGUGAAAUCCUGGAGCUCAACUCCAGAACUGCCUUUGAUACUGAAGAUCUUGAGUUCGGGGAGAGGUGAGUGGAACUGCGAGUGUAGAGGUGAAAUUCGUAGAUAUUCGCAAGAACACCAGUGGCGAAAGGCGGCU
rnacentral:rRNA from 1 species